rnacentral:tRNA from 1 species
CCUUAAGUAAGUUAAAGAAACUAUUGAAUUUUUACUUCAAUUUUACUAAUAAGUCUUAAGGU